CGAGUACUCCCUCCGUCCGGAAAUAUUUAUCAUCAAAAUAAAUAAAAUAUGAUAUAUCUAAAUAUAUUUUAGUUCUAGAUACAUCAUUUUUUGUCCAUUUUGAUGGUAAACUAUUUUCGAACGAAAGGAGUACUCC
rfam:Triticum urartu cultivar G1812 contig637861, whole genome shotgun sequence.